UCCUACGGGGGGCUGCAGUGAGGAAUAUUGGUCAAUGGGCGCAAGCCUGAACCAGCCAUCCCGCGUGAAGGAAGAAGGCGCUAUGCGUCGUAAACUUCUUUUCCGGAGGAAUAAAAUUUCGUACGUGUACGGGACUGAAGGUACUCUGGGAAUAAGCAUCGGCUAACUCCGUGCCAGCAGCCGCGGUAAUACGGAGGAUGCGAGCGUUAUCCGGAUUUAUUGGGUUUAAAGGGUGCGUAGGCGGAAAAAUAAGUCAGUGGUGAAAACCUUCAGCUUAACUGGAGACUUGCCAUUGAUACUGUUAUUCUUGAGUAUAGUUAAGGUAGGCGGAAUGUGUAAUGUAGCGGUGAAAUGCUUAGAUAUUACACAGAACACCAAUUGCGAAGGCAGCUUACUGAGCUAUAACUGACGCUGAUGCACGAAAGCGUGGGGAGCGAACAGGAUUAGAUACCCCGGUAGUCC
rnacentral:rRNA from 1 species